AGGAGGUGUGCAGUUUGACCAAGAACCCCAUGGAAAUGAUUGGCCAUGAAUUGGGUGAUGAUCUUUUACAGAUUCCGCAAAGUCCACAUAGCCUGUAACAUGAGGUCCACUGUUCCAUUUACCCAUAAGACGUUCAAGAAUGAGGGUGGUUUUGCCGACGCCACGAGGGCCGUGAAGGAUAAGCGGUUGAGGAACGCGGUGGUGUUGAGCAUGAUUGUUGAGGACAGUUUCGAGAAGGGGCCGUGGGAUUAUUCUCCAUGCCUUGUUCACCAUUGAUGGACUGUUAUGAGAGAUCACAAAAGACUAGCUGACUUCACCGGUUCAUCUUGCUCUCUUCUUUAUUU
rnacentral:misc_RNA from 1 species